AGGAAAGCUCAGGCAGCCGCUCCAAUUAUUUUUGGGGAGGAAAGUCCGAACACUCAAGAGCAUGGUGCCCUGAGAAAUCAGGGGUGCCCCCGAUGAAAAGACGGGGCAACGGAAAGUGUCACAGAAAAUAAACUACCUUGAGCAAUCAGGGGAAAGGUGAAAAGGCGGUGUAAGAGACCACCGGUUCAUGCAGUAAUGCGUGAAUGCAAGACAAACCCCGCCGGAGUGCAAUGCCGCGUAUAGUAACGACGUUUCGCUUUGCGAAGCAAGAGGGCUGCUCGUCCGAUGUUACAGGGUUGGCAGCGUCAGAUAAAUGGCUGCAGGCCUGCUUCCGCAGGUUACAGAAUUCGGCUUAUGGGCUUUCCGUUUU
rnacentral:RNase_P_RNA from 1 species